GUGAAACUGCGAAUGGCUCAUUAAAUCAGUUAUAGUUUAUUUGAUGGUUCCUUGCUACUUGGAUAACCGUAGUAAUUCUAGAGCUAAUACAUGCAUAAAGUCCCGACUUCUGGAAAGGAUGUAUUUAUUAAAUCCAAAACCAGCGCGG
rnacentral:rRNA from 1 species